UACGUGAGGGGCGAACGUUGUUCGGUGUCACUGGGCUUAAAGGGCGCGUAGGUGGUUGCGUAAGUAACGUGUGAAAUCCCUCGGCUUACCCGGGGAAUUGCAUGUUAUACUGCGUGGCUUGAGGAUCUCAGGGGAAAGGGGAACUCCAGGUGUAGCGGUGAAAUGCGCAGAUAUCAGGAGGAACACCGGUGGCGAAGGCGCUCAUCUGGCCCAAUACUGACGCUGAGGCGCGAAAGCUAGGGGAGCAAACGGG
rnacentral:rRNA from 1 species